UUACUUUCUAAAUUUUUAAUUUUAAAAUUGACCCAUUAUAGCACAAGUUGCAAAAACAACUUGAUGGUUGAUAUUUAAAGUCUCAAGUUCGAAUCUGAAUUGAUUCAUAUUUCCAGCUAAAUUUAUUUUUGCACAAAGCAUGUAACAUGCUACUCUUAUCUCAAAAAAAAAAAUUUAAUUUCAUAUAGUGAACCUCUUUUCGUUAGAAUUCUGUCGCUAUUUCAUUCAUUUUUUAUAAUUUAUAUAAAAAAAAUAUUUAAAAUAAAAAA
rnacentral:lncRNA from 1 species